rnacentral:rRNA from 1 species
UACGUAGGGUGCAAGCGUUGUUCGGAUUCAUUGGGCGUAAAGGGUGCGUAGGCGGCGCGGUAAGUCGGGUGUGAAAUCUCGGAGCUUAACUCCGAAACUGCAUUCGAUACUGCCGUGCUUGAGGACUGGAGAGGAGACUGGAAUUUACGGUGUAGCGGUGAAAUGCGUAGAUAUCGUAAGGAAGACCAGUGGCGAAGGCGGGUCUCUGGACAGUUCCUGACGCUGAGAAGCGAAAGCAUGGGGAGCGAACAGG